rnacentral:lncRNA from 1 species
GUUUGGUUUGCCAUCACUUUUUGUGACUUUUCUGACAUCUGCAAGUGUCGGAAGUGUGACCUGAAACAUUUAAGGACACUUCUGCCUGAACCAUGGGCAGAUGUUUAGACUCCAAGAUACAGAGGAGGAGGGUCUUGGAGGUUUCUUAGUAUAAGUUCCUCCCUGUGGUACUUGCAGUUCCUACAAGGGGCUGUCAGAGAAACAAGCCGGAGAAGAGCAAGACAUGGUCCUGGUGCAUGAAAGGAGCCUAAGAAAGAAGAGUGAAAGCUGCACGUGUUCUACCUCCAGAAAGCCAUAAAAGAGAAAAGAAUGUUGUACCAAACUAAGCAAAUGAAGCAUGAAAUGAAAAGCCGGUUGAGCUGGGAGGUAUAAAGAAUGGAAAGGAAGCAGCUACCACCCCUGGUAACCCCAUCAAUCCGGAGAAGCUUCGCAGAGUUACACUGUGCUCUGUCGGAGGAAGUCUAAAAUAACACAUGGGUGUCUCGGCCUUGGCACAGCUAAACCCUGGAACAUUGAACUGAAGUCAUAACAAUGGGUAAUAUUUUAAUAUAAUGAAAAAUUAUCAUUAACUUUUCUCGACAGGAAGGAAAUGAAUUUUCCUCAUUGUACACAUUCCGAGAAAAAUGAGGCUAAGACUAUUUCAAAGGAUGUUCUACCUAAUUCGAAUGGGCUUUAAGUGCCAUCUUCACAAUAGCGCCAGAGUCUGGUGUCAGCAAACUGAACAAAUAGAGCUACAGGGAGCGAAUGGGGCUGGGUGCCUCUCCAAAACAUAUGCAGAUGAACUUGAGAUUUCAGAGGACGGUUAAUCCUACACAGCAGUCAAGUGCCUUCCCAGGGGGCUCCCUUCCAAACACUGGCUGCCACGUCAAACCAAAGGGGACGAGCAAUCAGACUCACCUCAAACGCCAGUUAAGAAAGCCGGCCUUACUUAAGCAAUCAAGGGCAAGUGAUCAGCCAACUCUGCUUUCUUUCCUUUCUCUUGGAUCAUUUAUAGACCUUGUGGCCGUGGCCACCACAUUGAGAAGCCCUUGGUCUCUACUUGGACUCACUAUAGCAGGU